CAUUUCUGAUAGAGUUAUCAAUCCAACAAGCAGAAACUCGUCGAACAAUUCCUCAAGGGAGUGGAUUCCAGUUCGAGAAGGGAACUUUUUUAUUGGCAUGGUUAUUAUGUGAGUGCUGUUGUCCUUUUAGAUUCUUUAUCCUGUCAAAGAUAUGAAAGUGACUCAGGGUUAUUGUUAACAGGAUAAGAGGCUCCCAACAGGACCAAGUGCUUUGCUCAAAUUAGAAGGUAAAAUAAAUCUUAAAGACAAUCAUUUAUAAUGAUACUUUCACGACCACUCUACAAUGCUAAAGAAUCCUUAUUAGUAUUACCUCUUUAUUUGCACAAAGAAUUUGAUUCCAAGCACUCACUAUUGCUUGAAUAGGUCUGACACAUUCUAUCUGCAGAAUUUGUGGCCAAGUUCAUGAGCAUACACCGAAAGAGUUCUGGCAAAUCAUCGGCAUGAUUAAUU
rnacentral:lncRNA from 1 species